ACGGAGUUUCACUCUUGUUGCCCAGGCUGGAGUGCAAUGGCACGAUCUCAACUCACCACAACCUCUGCCUCUCGGGUUCAAGCAAUUCUCCUGCCUCAACCUCCUGAGUAGCUGGGAUUACAGGCAUGAGCCACCAUGCCUGACUAAUUUUGUAUUUUUAGUAGAGGUAGGGUUUCUCCACGUUGGUCAGGCUGGUCUCAAAAUUCUGACCUCAGGUAAUCCACCUGCCUCGGCCUCCCAGAGUGCUGGGAUUACAGACGUAAGCCAUACUGCACCUGGUCCCUAAUGUCUUAAAAUGGAGUCACU
rnacentral:lncRNA from 1 species